rnacentral:rRNA from 1 species
AGAGUUUGAUCCUGGCUCAGAACGAACACUGGCGGCGUGGAUUAGGCAUGCAAGUCGAGCGGGAUUAACUUGGUUCAAUUCUUCGGAAGAGAAUCUUGUUAUGAGAGCGGCGAACGGGUGAGUAAUAUAUGGGUAAUUUGCCUUAGAGCUUGGGAUAGCCAUCCGAAAGGGUGGGUAAUACCAAAUGUGCUCGGGUCUCGCAUGAGACCCUGUGUAAAGGUGGGGUUCUUUUGACCUGCCACUCUAAGAUAAGCCCAUAUCCUAUCAGCUUGUUGGUAAGGUAAUGGCUUACCAAGGCUUACGGGUAGCCGACCUGAGAGGGUGACCGGCCACACUGGGACUGAGACACUGCCCAGACUCCUACGGGAGGCUGCAGUCGAGAAUCAUUGUCAAUGCACGAAAGUGUGAACAUGCGACGCCGCGUGGAGGAUGAAGGCCUUCGGGUUGUAAACUCCUGUCCUGAGGGAGUAAGUGCAGGGAGCUUAAUAAGCUUCCUGUUUGAUAGUACCUCAGAAGAAAGUCACGGCUAACUCUGUGCCAGCAGCCGCGGUAAUACAGAGGUGGCAAGUGUUGUUCGGAUUUACUGGGCGUAAAGGGUCCGCAGGCGGUCCUGUGUGUCAGAUGUGAAAGCUCACGGCUUAACCGUGGAAUUGCAUUCGAAACUACAGGACUAGAGUACAGGAGGGGAGAGGGGAAUUCAGGGUGUAGCGGUGAAAUGCGUAGAUAUCCUGAAGAAUACCGGUGGCGAAGGCGCCUCUCUGGACUGAUACUGACGCUCAUGGACGAAAGCUAGGCGAGCGAAGAGGAUUAGAUACCCUCGUAGUCCUAGCCGUAAACGGUGUGCACUUGUUGUUGGAGGUUUACCCCCUUCAGUGACGGAGCUAACGCGUUAAGUGCACCGCCUGGGAAGUACGGCCGCAAGGUUAAAACUCAAAGGAAUUGACGGGGGCCCGCACAAGCGGUGGAGCAUGUGGUUUAAUUCGACAACACGCGAAGAACCUUACCUGGACUUGACAUAGAAAGAAUUACGCAGAGAUGUAUAAGUGCUAGCUUGCUAGAACUUUCAUACAGGUGCUGCACGGCUGUCGUCAGCUCAUGUCGUGAGAUGUUGGGUUAAGUCCCGCAACGAGCGCAACCCUCGUGUUUAGUUACUAACAGUUCGGCUGAGGACUCUAAACAGACUGCCUGGGUAACCAGGAGGAAGGUGAGGACGACGUCAAGUCAUCAUGGCCCUUAUGUCCAGGGCUACACACGUGCUACAAUGGCCGGUACAAAGGGCUGCAAUACCGCGAGGUGGAGCGAAUCCCUUAAAAUGCCUAUCAGUUCGGAUAGCACUUUGCAACACGAGUGCUUGAAGUUGGAAUCGCUAGUAAUCGUGGAUCAGCAAUGCCACGGUGAAUACGUUCCCGGGUCUUGUACUCACCGCCCGUCACACCAUGGGAAUUGAAUUCAUUCGAAGCGGGGAUGCUAAAAUAGCUACCUUCCACAGUGGAUUUAGUAACUGGGGUGAAGUCGUAACAAGGUAACC